rnacentral:rRNA from 1 species
GACGGACGCUGGCGGCAUGCUUAACACAUGCAAGUCGAACGGAAAGGCCCUGCUUUUGUGGGGUGCUCGAGUGGCGAACGGGUGAGUAACACGUGAGUAACCUGCCCUUGACUUUGGGAUAACUUCAGGAAACUGGGGCUAAUACCGGAUAGGAGCUCCUGCUGCAUGGUGGGGGUUGGAAAGUUUCGGCGGUUGGGGAUGGACUCGCGGCUUAUCAGCUUGUUGGUGGGGUAGUGGCUUACCAAGGCUUUGACGGGUAGCCGGCCUGAGAGGGUGACCGGCCACAUUGGGACUGAGAUACGGCCCAGACUCCUACGGGAGGCAGCAGUGGGGAAUAUUGCACAAUGGGCGGAAGCCUGAUGCAGCAACACCGCGUGCGGGAUGACAGCCUUCGGGUUGUAAACCGCUUUCGCCUGUGACGAAGCGUGAGUGACGGUAAUGGGUAAAGAAGCACCGGCUAACUACGUGCCAGCAGCCGCGGUGAUACGUAGGGUGCGAGCGUUGUCCGGAUUUAUUGGGCGUAAAGGGCUCGUAGGUGGUUGAUCGCGUCGGAAGUGUAAUCUUGGGGCUUAACCCUGAGCGUGCUUUCGAUACGGGUUGACUUGAGGAAGGUAGGGGAGAAUGGAAUUCCUGGUGGAGCGGUGGAAUGCGCAGAUAUCAGGAGGAACACCAGUGGCGAAGGCGGUUCUCUGGGCCUUUCCUGACGCUGAGGAGCGAAAGCGUGGGGAGCGAACAGGCUUAGAUACCCUGGUAGUCCACGCUGUAAACGGUGGGUACUAGGUGUGGGGUCCAUUCCACGGGUUCCGUGCCGUAGCUAACGCUUUAAGUACCCCGCCUGGGGAGUACGGCCGCAAGGCUAAAACUCAAAGGAAUUGACGGGGCCCCGCACAAGCGGCGGAGCAUGCGGAUUAAUUCGAUGCAACGCGUAGAACCUUACCUGGGUUUGACAUGGAUCGGGAGCGCUCAGAGAUGGGUGUGCCUCUUUUGGGGUCGGUUCACAGGUGGUGCAUGGCUGUCGUCAGCUCGUGUCGUGAGAUGUUGGGUUAAGUCCCGCAACGAGCGCAACCCUUGUUCACUGUUGCCAGCACGUUAUGGUGGGGACUCAGUGGAGACCGCCGGGGUCAACUCGGAGGAAGGUGGGGAUGACGUCAAGUCAUCAUGCCCCUUAUGUCCAGGGCUUCACGCAUGCUACAAUGGCUGGUACAGAGAGUGGCGAGCCUGUGAGGGUGAGCGAAUCUCGGAAAGCCGGUCUCAGUUCGGAUUGGGGUCUGCAACUCGACCUCAUGAAGUCGGAGUCGCUAGUAAUCGCAGAUCAGCAACGCUGCGGUGAAUACGUUCCCGGGGCU